UACAGAGGUCUCAAGCGUUGUUCGGAUUCAUUGGGCGUAAAGGGUGUGUAGGUGGCGCCGUAAGUCGGGUGUGAAAUUUCGGAGCUUAACUCCGAAACUGCAUUUGAUACUGGUGUGCUUGAGGACUGGAGAGGAGACUGGAAUUCAUGGUGUAGCAGUGAAAUGCGUAGAGAUCAUGAGGAAGACCAGUGGCGAAGGCGGGUCUCUGGACAGUUCCUGACACUGAGGCACGAAGGCCAGGGGAGCAAACGGG
rnacentral:rRNA from 1 species